rnacentral:lncRNA from 1 species
CCUAUCAGCGCGGCGUUCUGGGAAAGAAAAUCUAGGUUUCUUCUCCGUUUGUGCAGCGGUAGACGUGCUUCCCCAUUCAGUUAUCUCGGAUUUUCCGGGGAGCGAUUUCGAAUCGCUUCACCGAGUGAACUUUGCACAGCCUGGGUGAACUAUCACAGUUCUCUCCAUUCUCCUAAGAGCGGCAGAUAAUGAAAAAAUCUAAGGUGAGCUUUCUUUAUUCCCCACAUUUAUUGUAAUGGAUUUAGGAUGUUUAU